AGCUUGCUUUUCUGAUGACGACCGGCGCACGGGUGCGUAACGCGUAUGCAACCUACCUUAUACUGGGGAAUAGCCAGAAGAAAUUCUGAUUAAUGCCCCAUAGUAUUUAUUAACCGCAUGGUUUUAUAAAUUAAAGAUUACGGUAUAAGAUGGGCAUGCGUCCUAUUAGCUAGAUGGUAAGGUAACGGCUUACCAUGGCAACGAUAGGUAGGGGGCCUGAGAGGGUGAUCCCCCACACUGGUACUGAGACACGGACCAGACUCCUACGGGAGGCAGCAGUGAGGAAUAUUGGGCAAUGGAGGCAACUCUGACCCAGCCAUGCCGCGUGCAGGAAGAAGGUUCUAUGGAUCGUAAACUGCUUUUAUUUGUGAAUAAACUCUCGGACGUGUCCGAGCCUGAAUGUAGCAAAUGAAUAAGCACCGGCUAACUCCGUGCCAGCAGCCGCGGUAAUACGGAGGGUGCAAGCGUUAUCCGGAAUCAUUGGGUUUAAAGGGUCCGCAGGCGGACUUAUAAGUCAGUGGUGAAAUCUCACAGCUUAACUGUGAAACUGCCA
rnacentral:rRNA from 1 species